UACGUAGGCAGCAAGCGUUGUUCGGAGUUACUGGGCGUAAAGGGUGUGUAGGCGGUUCUUAAGUUUGGUGUGAAAUCUCCCGGCUCAACUGGGAGGGUGCGCCGAAUACUGAGGGACUAGAGUACGGGAGAGGAAAGUGGAAUUCCUGGUGUAGCGGUGAAAUGCGUAGAUAUCAGGAGGAACACCGGUGGUGUAGACGGCUUUCUGGACCGUAACUGACGCUGAGACACGAAAGCGUGGGUAGCAAACAGG
rnacentral:rRNA from 1 species